GUGCCUGCGCUGCCAGCACCUCGUCCAGCACCUGGACCCUAGGAUCCUGCGCACCCCCUGCCUGCCUUGCUCCCAGCGGGCCGGGGGGCUGUACUGCUUCUGCUGGGGCUGCCGCACGGAAUGGAGGGACCCCUCAUCCAAUGCUGACUUGCGAUGCCCCCUACAGGCCGUGCUGCAUGACGCCCCCAAGAUCGUCCAUCCACAGCUACCCCUCGCUGCGGGCCUGUCCCUGUUGCCACGCCCUCCUGAGCAACAUUGAGAAAGGCUGCCCCCUGGUGGUGUGCCCUGAAUGUCUCUGGAGUACAAACAUCCCAGUUUGGAUGGGUCGUUCAGUCCUUUGUUCAGAGCUUCAGUUUCAAGCACAGUUCCUCCAGAGUGCUCGUCCAGGUCCUGGACCCAGGGACCCCGCGCACCCCCUGCCUGCCCUGCUCCCAGCGGGCCGGGGAGCUGUACUGCUUCUGUUGGGGCUGCCACGUGGACUGGAAGGACCCCUCGCCCCAGGAUGAAUCCUGCUCCAACCCCCAGUGCCUCCUGUACAACGCCCCGGAGAUCCAGGCCCCGGGAUCGUCUGUCCAUGGCUGCCCCUUGCUGCGGGCCUGUCCCGAGUGCCACACCCUGGUCAGGGUCAGCCGUUGUGACUGAUUGGGUCACUCCUGUCAGAAUGUGCUACCGUUAUGAAAUCUCUGUUUUAAAUGUGGACACAACUAAAGAGAGGUAUUUUUCAAAAUCUGAAAACUUCAUUAUUGUACAAGGUCUAUAAACACACAUAGCUUACUUUACAUGUCAACAUUAUUUAAAAAACAAGCAUCUAAACGUGUUUUUAGAUACAGAGUUAACAUUUUUUUCUUUACUCAAAUGUAUAUUCAAAUUGAACUUUAUUACUCAGUUAUAUUCCAACUGAAUAAUUCCAAGAAAGCCAAAAUAUUUCUCUUAAGAAAAUAAUUAUACACUAUAUGGUUUUUGUAAACAUUUCAACUGUGCACACUUUGUGCAGUUGUACUUUCUUCUGAUCAAUUAGGAUGUCUUCAUUGCUUCCCUCUGGAAGGCAGGGCUCACACUUGGAUAAGUAAUAGAUGAGAAAAUGACACAGAACUAAUAAUGCUAACUAUAAUGUCAAUUAACUCAUAACAUUUAUAAAACAAUAUUCAUUAGUCAAAAUAUGACUGUCAACAGCUGUGGAAAUAUUUACUAAUGUGGAAUUAUCACAAGAAUCCUGACCCUUAGCCGGGUUAUUCCAUCGGGUCUAUAUGCAGCUAAUCACGACUUUUGUUCUUGUACUAUAAACAAUCAUAUUCUGUGUGUUUAUCUGCUCCAACAUAAGCUGUGUGUUUCUGAUGCAAUUUUGUAUUUCUUACCAUCAUGCAAUCUUCAUUUUCACCUUUGCAAAUAACACGGUUGCAGUCCAUGCAGUACGCCUCCACGCUUUCUGCAAAAUCAAUAUAAUGUACUCAGAUAAUGACUACCUUGUGACCAACGCUCUGAAUAGAAAUCUUGAUUUAUUCAUGAAUGUCAGUUAUUUCAAUUAUGAAGUUACUGGUUUGAAAUAUUUUUCUUGUUUUGGGUCAUAUUUUACAUUAUAUUUGGUACACAUCUAUUUAUCUCAAACUUUUAGUUUACUGCUGGUGAAUAAAACUAUAUCCAGUUCGAUUUCACAGCUCUUUCAAUAUCAACCAUUCACCCCUCCACAUUUUUGCUACAGUCACCAUUACAGAACCAAACCUGUGACACAUCCCACUCCAUGUGUAUUGAGUGAACUGUUUCUGAUACGACAUUUAUCUCAUUCUUCCUGUUAUCUUCCCAUAUACUAUGGGCUCACGGGAUAUAUGUAACAACUUUAUUACCUGACACUUUCAUUAAAAGAAUUGCUAUUUUUCUUC